AGCUGCAGAUCCAGUAAUGCAAAAGAGGUGCAAUAUUACAGCGCAAGAUCUUUUGGGGGAGAAUUUCUCCACUUUCUAGCAUCGGCCAAUUAACUACCUUUCAUUAAACGUGUGGAUGAUGCAACUUCCUGGAUGGUGUGUAGGCUGUUUGUCAACAUGUGAAUCCCACGUGCAUUUCGGGGAGUUGUCUCCCCUUGAAAAGAACAAUAAUAGCGGAUAAACAAUGCGGCAUGAAGUCUUGUCAUCAACGGACAGUUUUGACACCCAUAUACCCAUAUUUCUACCAAAUACCUCUGAAACCUUUGUUGUGUUCAUCACACAGAUGAUGGACCACUCUACUUCCUUUUACAAGAGGUGCCCCUACAGAUUCACAAAGUUCCAGUGUUGAGUUUCCAUGACCCCUAUUCAGUGAGUGUACAACUUUAUGUAUUCUACUUUCAAAAUUUCUACUACUUGUAAUACAUUUUGGAUUUGAUUUUAAAUAUGCCCUAUUUACAGAUUCAGAUUUUUGUGUACAAGUAUGAUAUUUGAUUCUAUCAAGAUUACUUUGUCCUAAAG